rnacentral:misc_RNA from 1 species
AAGUCGUAACAAGGUAACCGUAGGUGAACCUGCGGAAGGAUCAUUAACACGUAUCCACGUAUCAACCAAUGAGAACCUGUUUUCCCGUCUCCCUGUGCAAAGAAUGAAUUGGAACCAGUUUGAGGGAGUGAUGGGACCGAAAGGUCGGCCUUCCUGGUAUACUUAUGUAAAUAGAAAUGUUUGCAUAGACAAUUGUAUUUUUGUUACAGGCUAUUUCUUAUCGCUUUGAUCCCCAUCAUGAUCGUGGCGGUAGGGAAACUUUCACUAUAUUUACCUUUUUUGCUAGUUGACUUUUUAUAUGUGUUGUCUUGCGAAAGCAUGGUGGCACACGUUUAUUAAUUGAACGUUAAAAAAUACAACUCUUAGCAAUGGAUAUCUUGGUUCUC